rfam:Dipodomys ordii contig_26647, whole genome shotgun sequence.
GGUGGCUCAGUGGAAGAGCACUUGCCUUGCAUGCAUGAGGCCCUGGGUUCGAUUCCUCAGCACCA